rnacentral:rRNA from 1 species
UACAGAGGUCUCAAGCGUUGUUCGGAUUCAUUGGGCGUAAAGGGCGUGUAGGCGGCGCCGUAAGUCGGGUGUGAAAUUUCGGAGCUUAACUCCGAAACUGCAUUCGAUACUGCGGUGCUUGAGGACUGGAGAGGAGACUGGAAUUUACGGUGUAGCAGUGAAAUGCGUAGAUAUCGUAAGGAAGACCAGUGGCGAAGGCGGGUCUCUGGACAGUUCCUGACGCUGAGACACGAAGGCCAGGGGAGCAAACGGG